rnacentral:rRNA from 1 species
AUUGAACGCUGGCGGCAUGCCUUACACAUGCAAGUCGAACGGUAACAGGUCUUCGGAUGCUGACGAGUGGCGAACGGGUGAGUAAUACAUCGGAACGUGCCCAGACGUGGGGGAAACGGGGCGAAAGCUUUUCUUAUACCCCCUACGGACUUAGGGUUGAAGCAGGGGGCCGCCAAGCCUUUCCCGUUUUGGGCGGGCGAUGGCAGAUUAGGUAGUUGGUGGGAUAAAAGCUUACCAAGCCGAAGAUCUGUAGCUGGUCUGAGAGGACGACCAGCCACACUGGGACUGAGACACGGCCCAGACUCCUACGGGAGGCAGCAGUGGGGAAUUUUGGACAAUGGGCGAAAGCCUGAUCCAGCAAUGCCGCGUGCAGGAUGAAGGCCUUCGGGUUGUAAACUGCUUUUGUACGGAACGAAAAGGCUCUGGCUAAUACCUGGGGCACAUGACGGUACCGUAAGAAUAAGCACCGGCUAACUACGUG